CCUACGGGAGGCAGCAGUAGGGAAUAUUGGACAAUGGGGGCAACCCUGAUCCAGCCAUUCCGCGUGCAGGAAUAAGGCCCUAUGGGUCGUAAACUGCUUUUGUAUGGGAAAAAAUCAUCUUACGUGUAGGGUGUUGAUGGUACCAUGAGAAUAAGGAUCGGCUAACUUCGUGCCAGCAGCCGCGGUAAU
rnacentral:rRNA from 1 species